AAGUCGUAACAAGGUAACCGUAGGUGAACCUGCGGUUGGAUCAUUACCGAUUUCCACUGCCACAGAGUUGAUUCGCAAGAGUCCUUAGUGGUGGUGAUCAACCCCUGUGAAUUAGACUGUUUUUUGGGUCAUUCCACUCGUUCUGUCCUUUUUAGGCUGGAGUGGUGGGUGGCCCAACCAAUUGAAGAAACCAAUGGAAUUCGUCUUAAAAUAGUUUUUAAAUAUUAAACAACUUUUGACAACGGAUCUCUUGGCUCUC
rnacentral:misc_RNA from 1 species